CCCAGCGGCUGCAGCACGAGGUGCAGGAGCUGCUCCGGGACGUGGAGCAGAUCCAGAGCUCGGUGAAGGAGUCGGGGGCCGAGGAGGAGCUGACGCCCAUGGCGCUGGCCAGGCAGGUGGAGGGGCUGAAGCAGCAGCUGCUCAGCUCCCACCUGGAGAAGGUGCUGGGCCCCGGAGCUGCUGUGGACUUUGCUGACCCCGAGGGGGCCCUGGCCAAGCGGCUCCUGCAGCACCC